rnacentral:rRNA from 1 species
AACGAACGCUGGCGGCGCGCUUAAUACAUGCAAGUCGAACGAGAAGGUGUAGCAAUACACUUGUAAAGUGGCGAACGGGUGAGGAAUACAUGGGUAACCUACCCUCGAGUGGGGAACAACCAGCCGAAAGGUUGGCUAAUACCGCGUACGCUUCCGGGUCUUCGGAUUCGGAAGGAAAGUCAUACCGUGGGUAUGACGCUCAAGGAUGGGCUCAUGUCCUAUCAGCUUGUUGGUAGGGUAACGGCCACCAAGGCUCCGACGGGUAGCUGGUCUGAGAGGACGAUCAGCCACACUGGCACUGCGACACGGGCCAGACUCCUACGGGAGGCAGCAGUAAGGAAUAUUGCGCAAUGGGCGAAAGCCUGACGCAGCCAUGCCGCGUGUGUGAAGAAGGCCU